GAAGGGUGGGGGGAGGGGAGGCCAUGAUCACCGGGUGGAGGGUGGGAGUAGGUGGACAUGGGUUAGAAAGGUCGUGGGCCAGGCGGCCUCCUAGGCAGCUUCCUGAUGUUGGCCUUUUCCUAGAUGGAAGCCAGCCGUCGGGAGCACACACACCACAUUACAAGGAUCCCAGCCAGGCCCAGGAGGGGAAGCAAGGACACCCUAGAGCCAGAGAGAACUGGCAGGUCCUCGUGAGUCCUCAUACAACCUAUCCUUAGGCGGUAACAGGCUGCAGCUGUUGAAGUCUAAUUUCACUCUAUUGAUUGGGUUUUUCAUGGGCCGAUCUGCUGAAUUCAGCCUAGGAGCUGAGGCCAACAUCUGAGUCUCUUCAGCAUACAAGUUUGAAAGAAGUCCUAGCAACUUCAAGCUCAGAACUACGGGUGGCAGCAGCUCCUUCUUGACGUCGAAGCCUCCCAUUCCAGAGAGAGUCAAGGCCCGGAUCAAAAAAAGCCCACAAGCACCGAUGACUGAGCUGCUGACUACCCCAGCAUCUCCAACUCAACCUCCUCUUUCUGCCUCUACCCAAAUUUUAAAACUUUUAAACAUGGGUUUAAAAAUGGUAAUGAGUAAAGUUGCAUCCAAGUGUAUCAAAUAAAAUUAAAUAUCCAUAAAUGCUGUAAUAAUUCCUGCUUUGAUGCUGAACUAAAGAAUUUUCUGCUGGGCGCGGUGGCUCAUGCCUGUAAUCCCAGCACUUUGGGAGGCCAAGGCAGGUGGAUCACGAGGUCAGGAGUUCAAGACCUGCCUGGCCAACGUGGUGAAACCCCAUCUCUACUAAAAAUACAAAAAUUAGCUGGGCAUGGUGGCAGGCAUCUGUAGUCCCAGCUACUCAGGAGGCUGAGGCAGAAGAAUCACUUGAACCCGGGAGACAGAGGUUGUAGUGAGCCAAGAUGGCACCACUGCACUCCAUCCUGGGCAACAAGCGAGAUUCCAUCUCAAAAGAAAAAAAAAAAGAAUUUUCUGUUUAUAUUACAUAUAGUCUCACUUCAUAUUUCAUUUCUCUCACCUCUGAUACCUGGAGUCCUUGGCUAGUACUGAAAUUGAGUAAAGUCAUUCUCAUGAGUUUUAGUAAAGUCAAAACUCAAAACUCAUGAAGUUGGCAAAACUCAAAGAAUGCUUUGGUCUAGUUUGACAUUGGCCAGUAUGUUUUUCAUAUCCAGUCAUUCCUUUUUUCCUGGCUGACAUCCUCACUUCCUGCCUGUGGAGGAAAAGUUAAAUAUUAAAUUUGAACUCAAUUGAAUGUGGACACAAACAAUGGUCACCAAGUCCGGGAACAGGUUGUGUGAGUCCCUUGAGGCAUUUAUCCUGCCCUGUUUCGGAGAAAUCUCUAUUUCAAACUAUUCCUAUGUGUUACUUACUGAAAAACAACAGACAAUCACAAAAACAAGUUGACCUU
rnacentral:lncRNA from 1 species